CAGUAGCCGCGGGAAUACGGAGGAUCCAAGCGUUAUCCGGAUUUAUUGGGUUUAAAGGGUGCGUAGGCGGCCUAUUAAGUCAGGGGUGAAAGACGGUAGCUCAACUAUCGCAGUGCCUUUGAUACUGAUAGGCUUGAAUGUACUUGAAGUGGGCGGAAUGUGACAAGUAGCGGUGAAAUGCAUAGAUAUGUCACAGAACACCGAUUGCGAAGGCAGCUCACUAAAGCAUGAUUGACGCUGAGGCACGAAGGCGUGGGGAUCAAACAGGAUUAGAUACCCCCGUAGUCCCUGUCUCUUAUAC
rnacentral:rRNA from 1 species